rnacentral:misc_RNA from 1 species
AAAACAUAUUAGUUUAAUAGUGUUCAAUUAUCUGAAUUAUGCAAUUUAAUUAAUUAAACUAAAAAAUUGAGUAAAAUUUAAACCACCGAAAACAUCCCUUUGCGAAAAAUAACAUACUCUGACGUCAAUCAUUAAACUAAAACGAAGAGCAGCAGCUGCUAAGAUUCAACCACACCAUUUGACAAACAAAUAUAAAAGAAUUUCAUUUUAAUUCAAUAAGCUUUAGCCAUACUCAUAACUCUACAAUUCCCGACAUGAGAAAUACAUCGGUUGCUAAAUUCAACGUGUAUUUUUUUUUCCCUUUUUCUUUUUUUUUUUUCUUGUUUAACAGAUCUAUAAUUUUUCUGAAUGCUCAAUCGGACAUCCAUCUGCACUCAACAUUCUAAUGAGCAGAAGCACAAGGAAAGAACUGAAACUCGCUAAUAUUACACAUCUCACCAAAUAUCUCUGUACACAUUUAACCAAAGGGGAAAAUUGACUGAACUGGCUUGCCAACUCAAAUCACUUCACCUUCUAUACCUUUUUUUGCCCCUUAAAUUCGAACUGGCAAUCCAAAAUUUUGGAAAGUUCUAAUUUCCCCUCGAAGGCCAGCAGUUACAAUCACCAUACCAUAGGCUGACAUAUUUUGGUUCAUCCCAUUUGUAAAAUCUACACUUGAGUGCGGGCUCCAGUUUCUGGUAGCUAAAUUGAGUUUUUCCUCCGGCCAUGUUGCUGAAAUCCUA